rnacentral:rRNA from 1 species
AUACGUAGGGUGCAAGCGUUAAUCGGAAUUACUGGGCGUAAAGCGUGCGCAGGCGGUUUUGUAAGACAGUGGUGAAAUCCCCGGGCUCAACCUGGGGACUGCCAUUGUGACUGCAAGGGUGGAGUGCGGCAGAGGGGGGUGGAAUUUCGCGUGUAGCAGUGAAAUGCGUAGAUAUGCGGAGGAACACCGAUGGCGAAGGCAAUCCCCUGGGCCUGCACUGACGCUCAUGCACGAAAGCGUGGGGAGCAAACAGGAUUAGAUACCCUGGUAGUCCACGCCCUAAACGAUGUCAACUGGUUGUUGGGGAUUUAUUUUCUCAGUAACGAAGCUAACGCGUGAAGUUGACCGCCUGGGGAGUACGGCCGCAAGGUUAAAACUCAAAUGAAUUGACGGGG